ACGGCGAGUGAAGCGGCAUCAGCUCAAAUUUGAAAUCUGGCUCUUUCAGGGUCCGAGUUGUAAUUUGCAGAGGGCGCUUUGGUGUUGGCAGCGGUCCAAGUUCCUUGGAACAGGACGUCACAGAGGGUGAGAAUCCCGUACGUGGUCGCUGGCCUUCGCCGUGUAAAGCCCCUUCGACGAGUCGAGUUGUUUGGGAAUGCAGCUCUAAAUGGGAGGUAAAUUUCUUCUAAAGCUAAAUACUGGCCAGAGACCGAUAGCGCACAAGUAGAGUGAUCGAAAGAUGAAAAGCACUUUGGAAAGAGAGUCAAAUAGCACGUGAAAUUGUUGAAAGGGAAGCGCUUGCAGCCAGACUUGCCUGUAGUUGCUCAUCUAGGCUUUUGCCUAGUGCACUCUUCUGCGGGCAGGCCAGCAUCAGUCUAGGCGGUUGGAUAAAGGCCUCUGUCAUGUACCUCCUCUCGGGGAGGCCUUAUAGGGGAGGCGUAAUGCAACCAGCCUGGACUGAGGUCCGCGCAUCUGCUAGGAUGCUGGCGUAAUGGCUGUAAGCGGCCCGUCUUGAAACACGGACCAAGGAGUCUAACAUCUAUGCGAGUGUUUGGGUGUCAAGCCCGAGCGCGUAAUGAAAGUGAACGGAGGUGGGAUCCCUUUAGGGUGCACCAUCGACCGAUCCUGAUGUCUUCGGAUGGAUUUGAGUAAGAGCAUGGCUGUUGGGACCCGAAAGAUGGUGAACUAUGCUUGAAUAGGGUGAAGCCAGAGGAAACUCUGGUGGAGGCUCGCAGCGGUUCUGACGUGCAAAUCGAUCGUCAAAUUUGGGCAUAGGGGCGAAA
rnacentral:rRNA from 1 species